AGCGGAGGGAUCAUUACCGAGUUUACAACUCCCAAACCCAAUGUGAACGUUACCAAACUGUUGCCUCGGCGGGAUCUCUGCCCCGGGUGCGUCGCAGCCCCGGACCAAGGCGCCCGCCGGAGGACCAACCAAAACUCUUAUUGUAUACCCCCUCGCGGGUUUUUUUAUAAUCUGAGCCUUCUCGGCGCCUCUCGUAGGCGUUUCGAAAAUGAAUCAAAACUUUCAACAACGGAUCUCUUGGUUCUGGCAUCGAUGAAGAACGCAGCGAAAUGCGAUAAGUAAUGUGAAUUGCAGAAUUCAGUGAAUCAUCGAAUCUUUGAACGCACAUUGCGCCCGCCAGUAUUCUGGCGGGCAUGCCUGUCCGAGCGUCAUUUCAACCCUCGAACCCCUCCGGGGGGUCGGCGUUGGGGAUCGGCCCUCCCUUAGCGGGUGGCCGUCUCCGAAAUACAGUGGCGGUCUCGCCGCAGCCUCUCCUGCGCAGUAGUUUGCACACUCGCAUCGGGAGCGCGGCGCGUCCACAGCCGUUAAACACCCAACUUCUGAAAUGUUGACCUCGGAUCAGGUAGGAA
rnacentral:rRNA from 1 species